UACGUAGGGCGCGAGCGUUGUCCGGAAUCAUUGGGCGUAAAGAGCUCGUAGGCGGCCUGUCGCGUCUGCUGUGAAAUCCCGGGGCUUAACCCCGGGCGUGCAGUGGAUACGGGCUGGCUGGAGGCAGGCAGGGGAGAACGGAAUUCCCGGUGUAGCGGUGAAAUGCGCAGAUAUCGGGAGGAACACCGGUGGCGAAAGCGCUCUACUGGACCGCAACUGACACUCAGGGACGAAAGCUAGGGGAGCGAAUGGG
rnacentral:rRNA from 1 species